AGGCGUUAUAUAACUACAGUCCAUUUACCAAUCUAAGGGACUGUCUUCACCAACUCCUGAUAAAAUGUCCCUUUGGCUAAUUCUUAUCUGUUUGCUGUUUGUUGCUAGGCAGGUUGGUUAGCUUAUUGUACAGUGGGAUUUAUCAGAGCUUGUUUCUGCUAUUGAAAAUCGAGAGUUGAGAUAAGCAGGUUGCUGAGCGGACUCCCUAUUUGAAAGGAUGGGCUCCCUUCCUUCUCCUUACUGAAAACCUGGACAAACAGAUUAGAGCCUCUAGGCCUGAUCCUGGUCCAGCAGCCCUUCAUGGUUUAUGCCACUUAUUCCACUGUCAGCACACCCUCAGCCUGAUCAUAUCUUUUAGGUAAGGUAAACAACACACACUGGAUUUACUGGAGCAAGAAAUGCAGUUAUUUAUUUAAACACUAAAUUACACUGCUUUCAAUGUAGUGCAGCUCUAAGUAAAGUCUAAUAAUCUGAGGCACACGGUUUUGAUUUGUAAUUGAUAUUAGUAUAACAUUCAGUUUUCCUAAAGCUAGAGAUUAUUUGUCAUAUAAUUCAUUGCUUCAAAAUUGAUUUAAACCUCAUUAAGGUCGAACGAAU